GGGAACUGGUUUCAUUUGGCACAGACUUGAGGUGUGUUUGCGUCCUCUCUUAGGUCACGCCUAACGUAAAGUGAAAGUGGAUGUACAGCGAUACAACGAUGUUACGGCUGGGACUUAGGCUGAACUUUUUGUGCUUUUUCCUCAUCUUAUUGAAAAGAGGCGCCUGUAGGGACUGGUUUGUUUCUCCUUCUAAAGGGCUAGAUGA